UGAGUUUGAUGAUGGCUCUGAUUGAACGCUGUCCAAGUACUUGACACAUGCUAAUCGUACGACUUCGCACCCUGAGGGGUGCGACGUAGUGGUGUACAGGUGAGUAAAAGAUAAUUUGGCUACCUUAAAGUAAGGGUAAAUCCCUUAUAAGUAAAGGAUGAAAAGGCCCUUAUUUUAUUUAUAAAUAAAGGAAGAAAUUCGCUUUAUAAUGUUAAAAAUAAAAGGCCGCUUUAUAAUAUAAAGUAGUUCGCUUUAAGAUGUUAAUUUUUAUCUCGGUGAGUAGUAGGAAAGGUAAUGUCUUUUCUAGCUAAUAAUCGUAGUCGUGACUGAGAGGUCCAUCGACCACAUUGGGUCUGAAAAAACCCCAAUGCGUUUUAGUACAGCAGUGAGGAAUAUUGGUCAAUGGCCGAAAGGCUGAACCAGUAACUUGGAAGAAUGAAAAAAAUGUAUUUAAAUAAUACAUUAACGAUUUACUCGUAUAAAGUUCUAAAUAGGAUAAUGAUAAUGACAAUUUCCUAUUUAUAAGUCUUGACCAAAUUACGUGCCAGCAGUCGCGGUAAUACGUAAAAGACUAGUGUUAGUCAUCUUUAUUAGGUUUAAAGGGUACCUAGACGGUAAAUUAAACUCUAAAUGAGUACUUUUUUACUAGAGUUUUAUAAGAGAAGGAAGAAUUUCUGGAGUAGCGAUAAAAUACUCUUAUACCAGAAGGACUGGUAACAGCGAAGGCAUCCUUCUAAGUAAAAACUGACGUUGAGGGACGAAGGCUUGGGUAGCAAUAAGGAUUAGAUACCCUAGUAGUCCAAGCAGAAAAUGAUGAAUGUCAUAGACUAGAAAAUAUAUUUAGUCUAUAAAUGAAAGUGUAAGCAUUCCACCUCAAGAGUAAUAUGGCAACAUAUAAACUGAAAUCAUUAGACCGUUUCUGAAACCAGUAGUGAAGUAUGUUAUUUAAUUCGAUAAUCCGCGAAAAACCUUACCACAGUUUGAAUAACAAUAAUAUUGUUACAAGCGCUGCACGGCUGUCUUUAGUUAAUGUCGUGAGAUUUGGUUAAUUCCUAAAAUUAACGAAAACCCUCACUUUAUUUAUACAUAAAUUAUGGAUAAUAUAUUUACCCAUAAUUUUUUAAUGGUAAUAAAUUUACACCUUGUAAAUUUAUACAUUGUGGCUAAUAAGGUAGUUCACCGUUACAUUGGAUAGGUAAUAGGGAUUAAGACAAGUCAUCAUGGCCUAAAUACUGUGGGCUAUAGACGUGCCACAUACGCCUUAACAAAGGGAUGCGAUAUUGCGAAAUGGAGCUAAUCCCCAAAAAUGGAUAUAAUAUGGAUUGUAGUCUGUAACUCGACUACAUGAAUAAGGAAUUACUAGUAAUCGUGAAUCACCAACGUCACGGUGAAUCUAAUCUCAGCUAGGUACUAACCACUCGUCAGGCGCUGAAAGGAGUAUGUGCAAUAAGUUUGAUUAAUUUGCAUAUUAAUAUAUAUAAUUAGGUAUAUAAAUAUGUAGGUUUAAUUUUCGUAUGCGUGACUUUGAUUGGUGUUAAGUCGAAAUAUGGUUCGUGUAAUGGAAAUUGCACGGG
rnacentral:rRNA from 1 species